GAUGAAGAACGCAGCGAAAUGCGAUAAGUAAUGUGAAUUGCAGAAUUCAGUGAAUCAUCGAAUCUUUGAACGCACCUUGCGCCCUUUGGACUUCUGAAGGGCAUGCCUGUUUGAGUAUCAUGAACACCUCAACUCCUUAUGGUCUUCCAUGAUGAGCUUGGACUUUGGGGGUUUUGCUGGCCUACAGUCAGCUCCUCUAAAAUAAAUCAGCUUACCGGUGUUUGGUGGUAUCAUGGGUGUGAUAACUAUCUACGCUCGUGGUUUUCCACCAGGUAACCUUCAGCAGUGGAGGUUCACUGGAGCUCAUAGAUGUCUCUCCUCAGCGAGGACAGCCCUUUGAAUGUUUGAUCUCAAAUCAGGUAGGACUACCCGCUGAACUUAAGCAUAUCAAUAAGCGGAGGA
rnacentral:misc_RNA from 1 species